rnacentral:rRNA from 1 species
UACGUAGUGGGCAAGCGUUGUCCGGAAUCAUUGGGCGUAAAGAGCUCGUAGGCGGUCUGUCACGUCGAAUGUGAAAGCCCAGGGCUCAACCCUGGGUCUGCAUUCGAUACGGGCAGACUAGAGUACGGCAGGGGAGACUGGAAUUCCUGGUGUAGCGGUGAAAUGCGCAGAUAUCAGGAGGAACACCGGUGGCGAAGGCGGGUCUCUGGGCCGUAACUGACGCUGAGGAGCGAAAGCGUGGGGAGCGAACAGG